rnacentral:rRNA from 1 species
GAUGAACGCUAGCUACAGGCUUAACACAUGCAAGUCGCGGGACCGGCGCACGGGUGAGUAACGCGUAUCCCACCUGCCCUUCACCACGGGAUAACCCGGCGAAGGGCGGACUAAUACCGUAUGGUGCAGGGUGGGGAUGCGUCCGAUUAGCUUGACGGCGGGGUAACGGCACACCGUGGCUACGCUCGGUAGGGGUUCUGAGAGGAAGGUCCCCCACACUGGAACGGAGACACGGUCCAGACUCCUACGGGAGGCAGCAGUGAGGAAUAUUGGUCAAUGGGCGUAAGCCUGAACCAGCCAAGUAGCGUGCAGGACGACGGCCUAUGGGUUGUAAACUGCUUUUAUGCGGGGAUAGGUACCGCAUGAAUAAGGACCGGCUAAUUCCGUGCCAGCCGCCGCGGUAAUUC